rnacentral:rRNA from 1 species
GACGAACGCUGGCGGCGUGCUUAACACAUGCAAGUCGAACGGAAAGACCCUGCUUUUGUGGGGUGCUCGAGUGGCGAACGGGUGAGUAACACGUGAGUAACCUGCCCUUGACUUUGGGAUAACUUCAGGAAACUGGGGCUAAUACCGGAUAGGAGCUCCUGCUGCAUGGUGGGGGUUGGAAAGUUUCGGCGGUUGGGGAUGGACUCGCAGCUUAUCAGCUUGUUGGUGGGGUAGUGGCUUACCAAGGCUUUGACGGGUAGCCGGCCUGAGAGGGUGACCGGCCACAUUGGGACUGAGAUACGGCCCAGACUCCUACGGGAGGCAGCAGUGGGGAAUAUUGCACAAUGGGCGGAAGCCUGAUGCAGCAACGCCGCGUGCGGGAUGACGGCCUUCGGGUUGUAAACCGCUUUCGCCUGUGACGAAGCGUGAGUGACGGUAAUGGGUAAAGAAGCACCGGCUAACUACGUG